rnacentral:sRNA from 1 species
UGUAUCUGAAGUCUGACGAGGAUGAGAACCUCCGGGGGCAGGAGGUUCGACUCGAGCGCAGCGAGAGAACGUUGCGUCAGC